rnacentral:rRNA from 1 species
GACGAACGCUGGCGGCGUGCCUAAUACAUGCAAGUCGAACGCACUCUCGUUUAGAUUGAAGGAGUUUGCUCCUGAUUGAUAAACAUUUGAGUGAGUGGCGGACGGGUGAGUAACACGUGGGUAACCUGCCCUAAAGUGGGGGAUAACAUUUGGAAACAGAUGCUAAUACCGCAUAAAACCUAACACCGCAUGGUGUAGGGUUGAAAGAUGGUUUCGGCUAUCACUUUAGGAUGGACCCGCGGUGCAUUAGUUAGUUGGUGAGGUAAAGGCUCACCAAGACAGUGAUGCAUAGCCGACCUGAGAGGGUAAUCGGCCACACUGGGACUGAGACACGGCCCAGACUCCUACGGGAGGCAGCAGUAGGGAAUCUUCCACAAUGGACGAAAGUCUGAUGGAGCAACGCCGCGUGAGUGAAGAAGGUUUUCGGAUCGUAAAACUCUGUUGUUGGAGAAGAAUGUAUCUGAUAGUAACUGAUCAGGUAGUGACGGUAUCCAACCAGAAAGCCACGGCUAACUACGUG